CUAGGAUUGUCCGGCCUGGUACAGUGUACCUCUUGGAUAAUUUUUGUCCUAACAGUUCCCGCUUCAAUUCUUCUAACUACAGAUUUUCAGGAGAGACUGAUUGGUGUGAUGCUAGCUCUAGGGGCAAACUAUACUCUCCUCAGUUUAUAUUAUGAAAAUAUAUUCUUACUCACAAUCUCAUUAUCUAUCUAUUCAUGGAUUCAGGCUGAAUCUGAUCGAAGUACUGCAUUUGACAAUGGUAUUAUUUUUAAUUAAUUAAUUAGUUAAUUAUUAUUGUGAAUUACUAAUUAUUUAAAACAUCUUGGAACA